rnacentral:lncRNA from 1 species
GUUGAGCCGAGUUCUGAAUAUACAUGCCCACACACUUAAAAACCCAAAUUAGAGCAAUCCACCAUUAAUCAAAAAAUUAUGGAUUACUAAUUAUAAAAAAUAUAAUAAGAAAACCAUAUACACCUCAAACAUAAUCCCUACAAACCUAAAUAUUAUUCAAGAACAUUAUCGUCAAAAAUACUGCUCUUGCAAAAAUCAACAUAAAAUACACACAAUGAAAAUAUACAAUUAUACAGUUACAUAGAACACAUGUAAACCAAAUUCUGCGCGUAGCGUAGACCGACCCUAGUAAAAAUAUAAAAUAAUGAAUAUUUGUAUUACUUCAAACUAAUACCAA